UUUUUUGGUAUUCAAAAACCCCAACCGUCAUAAAGUCUCAUUAUUUCAAAAUAAGCCUUUCAAAAAGCUCAGUAAAAUGACAAAAUGCUCAAAUUCAAACACACACUUUGGAAGCAUACUUUUCAUAUAGAUAUUUCUCUUCGCAUUGUUAGUUUGUUUUUCUUUUCCAAAUCAACUCCAACCUGUAAUUCCGUCUGCUAUACAAUUUCAUGAACACAUCUGCAUUUCAUUCCAUAUAGACAAAAUACUACACCGCAAAAAUAGAAAUAGCUGGGAACAGGCAACAACAAUAAGAAAAACAAACCAAAAACCCAAGCCAGAUUUGUACAGACACCAGAUCAGAAUGAGGAAAAAAACUGCUGUUAGUACUGAACAAUUGUGCAAAUUUUGGAGAGAAGACAACACAGAAGAGGUCUUGUGAAACCCACUCUAAAUGAUGCAUUUUGCAGUCCUGUCACGUGCUUUAGGUGAAACCCAAAAACGUUUCCUCCCUUUUGAUUUGAUUCGCACACAUUUGGGUUUCAUUUCUUGCAUCUUUAUUUUCUUUUUCUUUUUGCUUUUCCCCCUAUGGAAUAACUGGAUUUAAGUUCAGUAGUGUUUUUUCUCCUUACUUUUAAAGAAUAUGUCAGAUUCCAUUCGUGUCUGAUUCUUUCUGGUCAUUACUUUUUUUUUUUUUUUUUUUUUUUGACAAAGCAGUGAAGGAAAAUGUUCCUUUCCCUACAGUCUGGUGGAAGGGAAAUGGAGAGGAUUCACCUCAUUCUGCUCCCAUUGAAGACAAUGCAUGAGAUCCAUGGAAAUAUUCUCUACUCAAGCAAGGAGUGCCAGCGUUUGGGCUCAAUGUAUUUUUUCCCCCUAAUUCCAGCCUAUGGGAGCAGUGUCCUUCUCAGCAGUCCCCCUUGACACUCAUCUACCUUCUAUAGGACUCAGCCAGCAUUUCUGUGCCAGAUGUUUGUCAUUUUUGGUACUGAUGGAUAGUCCCUGGGUCUAAGGAUCUUAUUCACCACAGGAGCAUAGGACCAAUAGGUAAAGUCCUAUUUUCCCACUUUGCCAAGAGGGCAGGAGCUCCCACCUUCCUCAUCCCUUCCACUGACAGAGCACAAGGUAUCAUCUGGUUCAGAAUAAUGCACAUGACCAUAAUAUUGAGACAGUUUUCAUUAGCCAGGAUGACCUUUGUGCAAUUAUGAUGGGAGUCAUUGAACUUGAUUUUAGCCCAGAGAGCUGAGGUAUCUAACAUGAACUCAUCUUCUCUGCUCUAUCCACAAAGAAAGGGAGAUACUCCCAUCCUGAAGGAGCUGUAUCCCACAUAUCCUAGACAAGUGUCUUAGGUGUGAAGAACCCUAGGGAACUUUUUGUCUCUCUCCAUUUCAAUAGAAAAGAGCUGGAUGUGUGCCUCUGGUCCAGGGACCGCCAUGAGGCACACAGCUAACUUUUCACUGCCUGGAAUUAAGCUCGAUGACUGUGGUCUCCAUCAUCAGAGAUGUGCCACAUUUCAUUUCAGUUAUUUCAAAGAACGAAUCCUCUCUGCAGCCAAAUUGUGAUGAAUAUCUUUUCUUCAUUUCUUCCUAUGCUCACCCUAAUAGUGACUCUAUUUUUGCUUCCACUCCCUGCCAAAUUCAGUGCUAUGAUCAGACAAGCCAAAAUUGAAAGAUCAGGACUGCAAAUCAUUUUCUUUCAAUGUCACUGUUUGAUUCCAGUUACAUGCAGGCUAUAUAAGGGGAAAAAACACAUAAACCAAUUCAUGUUUUGACAAUUCUGGUGUCUAUCUCACAUCUCAAAAAUAUCGCUUAAGUGGAAAAGUAACAGAAAUAAUAAUCAUUCACUCGUGAACACAAUAUUGAUUCUAGUGUACAGGAAAAUAGGAUCCAGACAGGAUUUUACAACUAAAAUAGGAACAUCACAAUAAAGAUUAUGACAUUUUAUGAAUAUUCAGUGUUAUAGCUUUGAGCUUUAUUGCAAAGCAAAAAAUAUAUAUUUUUAUAUAUAUAUAUAUAUUUUUAUCUACAUAUCACCUCUGACAUUGUAUACAACACUAAAUCACAAGAAAUCAAAGAAAUCAUAGUGAGGUAGAUACAAAACAAAGGGAUGUUGAAGAAUCCAGCUGCUAAAUUUGGCUUAACGCAACUGUCACUAACAUAUGUAUAUCCAACACAGCAGUGAGCUUUGAUUACUUGAUCAAUGGGUCCUACUAACAUUGAUACCAGUAUUACAGUCCACUUAGAGACAAUGCCGUUGGAAAGCUGGGGGAAAGGCAGAAGUAAAUCAGAAGCAUUCUCUACAAACUAGUCAUCUUCAAGGGAAAAAAAAAUAUGAUGUUCAGCAUUGAUAAAGCAGCUCUGAGAAAUAGCCUGUGUUCUAGGGGUACUCGUAGUGCAUGAACACAAAGAGGGAGAACUCUUCAGGGAAUCUACUGGCACUAAGUGAAAGAAAGAUAAGCCGUUUCCCCUCUCUUCUGGUGGCCAAGGGGAAGCAGCACACCCUGGGAAUGAUUGAGGCUACAUUCACCAACACAUGCUUGCGAAUAUUAGCUCGGACUUGUUGACAGUGGCCAACAAAAGAAGGCUUCAGCAGAAGGGCAGCCCCUUGAUGGAUUCUGUUGCACUUUUCAGGCAACAGCAGCUACGUGGCAAGGAAGACGGCACCACUGAAGUGAUCGGGCUCUGGGGUGACCAGUGUGGGUAGCUGGUGGGAUCUGGCUGCAUGGUCAGCACUCCUACAAGGAGACUUGCUAAGGCACCUGGAUGACUGGGGCUCUUAACUCUCAUCACAAAGCUCAGGGGAGGCAUUUGGAAUAGGGUUAGGCUUACUGGCUUCUAUAUUUACUCUAUCAAUCCAGGACGGUGUGUAGGUGGUACUUCUAUAGCAGAAAGGAUAUGAAGAUGAGAAGCAGCUGGUUUAAUUACAGCAGUGGGAAGCAGGCUGGAUACUGGUAAACAUUCCCAACAAGAGUGGUUGAGCAUGUUCCCAACAAGAGUAGCUGAGCAUGGGACGGUUGGUGAAGGCUCUUCUUCAGGCCACUGGACCGGUCACAUCCAAGCGGUAUGUGCAGCAAAGAAAGGACAUGGCACCCACAUAUCCCAGGAUGGAAGGAGCUUAGGUGCUCAAUGUGAAACAAAGACAAAAACGCUUAAAGAUUCAGACAAGACAACCCACUUGCUGCUGCUCAAACAUACCUUCUAAACUUCUGCGAAGUUAGGAAGUAGCGCCCUGGAAGGAGCAUGAUUCCCCAGCAGUUCUGUAAAUGGUUGCAAUCUGAUAUUUACAACAUGGUGCUUGAGUUAAAGAAAAUGAGGAAAAUUGACCAGAACAGAUUGCUAAUGAGAUGAAGAAGCCAAUGUGAUUGCUACCAGCUCUCUGUAUUUGAACAAGUCCUUGCUGUAGCUCAAUUUUUUCCCUUUUGCUUUUCAUCUAGACAAAGAAUGACCUUACCCUGUAGGAAAACAAAUGGAAGGUUAUUCCUUGUGUAUUAAUUUUCAAGGUUUUUUGUGAACCCUUACAGUGAUCAGCAGACUGUCACAGAAAGUGAUAACUUCUCCCCCUUCUUCAGUGAGUCCAACUCUGAAUUGCAGCCUGAUUUUCUUCAGUCUGACUGCCUAAUGUUGAUGCUUCCCUUUGGCAGGGGAUGUUGUGCAAGCAUGGAGCUAUGCUGAAGGAGAUAACUUUGAAUGUUUGUUGGCUGAGCAAAUAGAGAAGCAGCCUGAUGGCAAGACAUGGUGGGAAAUAGUUUGGAAGUGUGGAGAAUUCUGUCCACUUCAGGUGGGAUUCAAUUCACCCAAAUGUAACCAGCUAAAGGGCACACAACUGAUCUAAAUUGGAAACCAAGUGGGAGAAAUCUCUACCUGGAGGUGUCCUGAAUACGGAAGGAAUCAUGAUAACUCACUGGAUAUCCAACUUUUCUUGCUAAAUUAGAGGACGUCCACCCCAUACACACAGAGCCAGAAGGCAAAGAACUUUGAACAAGCAUCUCCGAUCAAGGGGACAAGAAAUAUACUCCCUCUUAGGGCAAGAAAGCUGCAAGUGGCUUUAUACUUGUCCACAAGGCAAACCUCUCCUGCUCUUUGCCAGCACUCUUUUUUAUUUUCCAUUUCACUAAAAGCCAUUUUGAAUGGAAACAUGGGUCUACUUUUAUUUUAGCUCCAAUGGGUUCACUGCAUUGUUUUGAAGGCUCCGAAUAACCUGGAAAGGAAGAAUAUAUCACCGAGUGUCUUCCAGGUAUUUAUUUCCCUUGCAGAUUUUCUGGAUGAGCCAUGGAAGGGAGAAGCCUUUCCCACUUACUGUCUUAAGAAACUGGAAUGUGUGAAGAUAAAAGACUUUGUCUGCAUGGCUAUGGAUUGAGUCAAACUUGACCUCUAUGCUCCUCCACUUGUUGAAUCUAGCAAUUAGAAACUAUCUUCUUUUAUUUUCUUUUCUUAAAGCUUUACUACAAACCGCUAACUGGGGCAGAAAAUUAUUCCUCUUGGCCUCACUUUUAGAUGGGCACCUCUCAGCAUUGUAUUUUCAGGGAAGGAAAUUAAGUGUUCUGCCUUCAAGUCACUCAGGGGAAAAAAAGACUGUCUUUGAUUUGUGAGAGGGAUUAAUCAUUCACACAGAUCCCAGCAUCCUAACAGCAAGUCCAAGGGACAGCUAUACCUCCUUGCAAACAUCAGCCACAGCCUAAAACUUGCCAUUAGGUAGAAGAGCCUGCAAAGGUGGAGAAGUAGACACUUGAAACAAUACAGCUGCACUACAUACAAUACUGUUAUAUAGACAAUGUGUAACAUCUAAGGCUGGGUGAGGUGUCCUACGACAAAUUAAUUUAGGUAUGAAUGCUGUUUUCUAGAGAACUGAGUUACAAGAAGCAAUCACAGUAGGUUUGCAGACCCACCUGGCUCUACAGCUCAACCAGCUGACUGACAAGGGCUGCUAAGCUAUGACACUGUGCAAGACGGGAAGACUGUCCCCAGCUUUUGCAUAUCUGUUUCCAGAUAAUUGUGGGUUUAACUUCGGUAGGAAGGAUGAUAGGACGUUCUUGUUUAGAAAUAGAACAUGAAAGAUGGCCUGAAAGGACAUCCAUGCUACUACAGACUGGUGUGGACACUUGUAUUCUCACUGACAAAUGGAAGAGAUGCCACAAACCCAUUCCCUUGUCCUUCCCACUUUUGCUGGCUCCAAUAAGGGCCCUUUCUAUAUCUAGAGCUGAGUAUAAUAACAGCCUAGCUGUCCUUUGGUUGUGUGGAAGAGCUUUACUAAAUCAGGUGUCCAAUGGGCAGUGAAAUCAGAAAUGGGGCUUCAUGUGCCCUGCCCCAAAAAACAUGAAGUCCACAUGUAGGAUGUGGGGCAAAAGUGGGCUUGGAAUUACUUCAGCAUGGUGCGACAUGGCUGUCAAGGACUGGGAAGCCUCAAGUGGAAAGAAGGAGAAGCACACAGGUGUUCAUUUAAAACCUAAUGGUGAGAUGAUGAAGGUCAAAGCAUGCACCAGCAAGGCAGGGGUGGGCUUCAUGAACAGAAGAGAGCUAGAGGACAAGGGUAAGACUGUGAAGAUCUCACUGUAAACUGGCCCGAAUCACCUCCAACUGGUGUUGAGGGGAACCCUGUGGUACUGGCAGAGAAGGACCAUGAGUGCAAAGUGCUUAAAGGCUUGGAAAGAAUCGGCAACCCCAAUCUGACAGGCACAGAGAAGUGGGAAAGAUGUUGCUCUAGGUGGCAUGGUGAAUUGGUGGCAGGGGACAUGGCAGCCCCAUCUGGUGGUCAUGGUUUCCUGAGCUCAUCACUGGCUAGAUGACCUGUUUUCUCUUCCUCUACACCCACUGGUAAACCAAGGUGGGAAAAGAAAGGCUAUAAAGGCAAACUCCUCCUAAAUCUAUACACACAUUUCUCCCAUGGCAAGGGGACAGUGUACUGGGGACAACAAAGGAGGAUAACUUUAUACCUUUCAUCAAAGGAUAGGGAAGAAAUUUACUGAAUAGAGCCAGGCUAUUUAUCAUAGCUUGAAAACCUUAAUUGAAAACCUCUACUUUUAUGGUAUAGGUGGGCAUGAUCAUGUGUUUGGAUGUGCGUACCUAUUAUACACACCCUAACAUGGACAUACACUAUUAUAUAUUUCUGUAAUAUAUAAUAUACUAUAUAAUACACACACACACGCACAUGAGAUACUCAAAUAUCUGAACUCCUCUUAAUCAAAACUCUCUUCUUUGAAGGUCAGAUAACUCACUACUUUUUCUAUAUAGACAACUUUGUACAUACAUGUCGUAAAGUGCGUUAAAAAGCGUGUAAAAUUUUCUAUGUAGAAAACUAUAUACAUAUAGCACACACAUGUACUAAAACACUUGAAGUUAAGCCAAAUUUCACCUUCAUCUUCACAUCCCCAAUACCUACAAUACAAAACCAGACUUAAAAAAAAAAGAGAGAGAAAACAAAUACAGAAGAAAAUCAAUCAAUAAAUAAAUCCUAAAACCCAAGAGAGUGAACAUCAUGAAUCGAGAAAUGAAACCAAACACAAAAAACAGUCAACAGAAGCCUGGCACAUGUAGAAAACAUCAAUUCAUUUAGAAAACAUUAAAAGGGUCAUGCCUGAACCUCCUUUUUUCUUAAAAACAAAACCAAACCAAACCCCUUGUGUUUGUCUGUUUGUUAGCUCUUAUCGCUUGAGAAAAGUCACAGUAGCACUCUCACCUUGAACCAGAGUUUGGAACUUUUUUUGUGAACAGUGGCUUCUCAUCAAGGUGAAAAAGUGCAUCAUCUGAUAAAAUAGCAUUUGAUUAUUAUUUUUUGUUCGGUUCCAUAUGUUUUUUUUUCCUCAGUCAACUGUACAUGUCACACAUGAAAAGGUAUAUACAGCACACACACAUGCUAACAUUAAACGUCUGACAUCGAAACAGCCAUUCUUUAAAUGCUCCAUCAGAGUUUUUUUCCAUGCAAAUUUGUAUUCUUUUAGAUACAUUUUUUUUUUUUUUUUUGCUACAGCCUAAGACCACAAACUUGUCCUAGCCCAUCUCAUGUAAUUUUGAUCAUUAGCAACAUAAAAAGGGGAAAAGCACCAGAAUGGCUCGGUUUGAUCACCAAACCUCUGCUUUGACUUCUUUCUUUUUUAUUUCUCAUUACUCCAUUCACUGCUGGUUGUUCGUGUUUUCACUUGUAUUGUUGUCAUUGAUGUCAUCUGUUUGUUUGAAUUUUCCAGACACGGGAAAAGAAGAAACAAUUGACUUUUUUUUUUUUUUUUUGUAAGCAUUCUUGAGGUAAGAGUUACACUGAGCACCUGGGGCAGGCAGCAAAGCUCUAAAAAGCAUUUGAGAAAUGGAGUCCAAACAUAGUCAUAAACUAGCCAAAAAAAAAAAAAAAAAAAAGGAAAUAAAGAGAUGAAUAUUCCAGGCUUGCUUGCUAGAUAAACCACCCUCCUCCUUCCCAUUCCUCUUUCCUUCUCCCAAAAAAUCAUGCACAGAAUUAAAAGGAAAUAGAAGUGCCUCAGCACAUUCCCUCUUGCACCAGCCAAAUGAAAAAAGACAGCUGUUGUGCAUAAAAAAGGGUGCUACAAAAGCUUUCCAUGCUUGCCGCCUGCCUCGAGUGCAUUUUAAUAUAUGUCUGAUCAUUUACAUUUAUAUGGGAAAGUCAUAUUUGUUACACUUUAUACAGGAUCGCUUCAUUUUUGUCCUUUUUUAACCUUUUCUUUUUUUUUCUUUUUUUUUUUAGGUUUUUUUUGGAUUAAAGAGUUGGUUAUAACAAUCUACAGUAAGGCUGCACAGGAAGAAUUCUGUGUAUAUUUAUUUUUCUCUAAGAACCAAAGUAUAUAAAAUGAGGUUUGAUUCUAGCACCUUUUACAGUAUUAUUGGUGUUGUUCCCUUUAGUAGAAAAUACCUUCACUCAACAUCUGUCCUAUUCGAAAUGAGCCCAUAGGUUCAGCAAUAUGAUAGAUAACGACAAGGGGACGAUUGACCCAACCCAGCAGUCCAGACAAAAAAAAUUGCCCCCUGGAGUCAGGCAAAACUACUGGCAUGAGUAAAGCAAACCACGUUCGCCAGCUUCCCUCCUCCCCAGCGUGGGAAACCGAGCAUCCCAAUGGGAAAAAAAUGAAGUGAGCGCAUUGGAAAGACGAUUGGGAAGAUGAGAUAGGAAUGCUUGCUGGCGGGCAGGGUGGUUGGCUAGCGGAGAAAACACCAACUGCAAUAUGUUGGGUUGCAUCCCCUUGGUGCAAAGGAAACAAUAAUGCCACCACCUGGGGAUGCCAUCCCAUUGGCCCCAUCAUCCUCCCUUCAUGGCAAGGUGACAUCCACC
ensembl:lncRNA